rnacentral:rRNA from 1 species
GACGAACGCUGGCGGCGUGCUUAACACAUGCAAGUCGAGCGGUAAGGCCCUUUCGGGGGUACGACGAGCGGCGAACGGGUGAGUAACACGUGGGUGACCUGCCCUUACGCUCUGGGAUAAGCCUGGGAAACGUGGGUCGUAAUACCGGAUAUGACUCCAUGACGCAUGUUGUGGGGUGGAAAGCCUUGUGCGGCUAGGGAUGGGCCCGCGGCCUAUCAGCUUGUUGGUGGGGUGAUGGCCUACCAAGGCGACGACGGGUAGCCGGCCUGAGAGGGCGACCGGCCACACUGGGACUGAGACACGGCCCAGACUCCUACGGGAGGCAGCAGUGGGGAAUCUUGCGCAAUGGGCGAAAGCCUGACGCAGCGACGCCGCGUGAGGGAUGACGGCCUGG